GAGGAACGCGUGAGUAACCUGCCCUCAAGUUGGGAACAGCUUCUGGAAACGGAAAUUAAUACCGAAUGUGACCAUAGGAAGGCAUCUUCUGUUGGUUAAAGGCCGCAAGGUCGCUUGAGGAGGGGCUCGCGUCCCAUUAUGCUAGUUGGUGAGGUAACGGCCCACCAAGGCGAAGAUGGGUAGCUGGUCUGAGAGGACGAUCAGCCACACUGGGACUGAGAACUGCCCAGACUCCUACGGGAGGCUGCAGUCGAGAAUUUUUGGGCAAUGGACGAAAGUCUGACCCAGCCAAUGCCGCGUGCGGGAUGAAGGUCUUCGGAUUGUAAACCGCUGUCAAGUGGGACGAAACAAAUGACGGUACCGCUGAAGGAAGUCACGGCUAACUACGUGCCAGCAGCCGC
rnacentral:rRNA from 1 species